GCCACAUGAUGUUUUCAUUUUGAGAGAUGAGCGCUUUGCACCCUGAUGACCUUAAUCUGUCACCCUUGACUGAUGGCU